AGCGGCGGACGGGUGAGUAACGCGUGGGUAACCUACCCUGUACACACGGAUAACAUACCGAAAGGUAUGCUAAUACGGGAUAAUAUAUUUGAGAGGCAUCUCUUAAAUAUCAAAGGUGAGCCAGUACAGGAUGGACCCGCGUCUGAUUAGCUAGUUGGUAAGGUAACGGCUUACCAAGGCGACGAUCAGUAGCCGACCUGAGAGGGUGAUCGGCCACAUUGGAACUGAGACACGGUCCAAACUCCUACGGGAGGCAGCAUGC
rnacentral:rRNA from 1 species